CUCCAGAGAGAGAGAGAGAGAGAGAUGGAGAGGGGGAAGGUACUCCAGAGAGAGAGAGAGAUGGAGAGGGGGAAGGUACUCCAGAGAGAGAGAGAGAGAUGGAGAGGGGGAAGGUACUCCAGAGAGAGAGAUGGAGAGGGGGAAGGUACUCCAGAGAGAGAGAUGGAGAGGGGGAAGGUACUCCAGAGAGAGAGAUGGAGAGGGGGAAGGUACUCCAGAGAGAGAGAGAGCGACAGUGAUCUGAGACUAAAGGCUGUCUUUUCUAUUCUGCUGCGUCUGUCAGAGUUAAAGCAGCCAGCCAUCGAGGUGGAGAAUAUUCAGCACAAAUGUCCUGUCUCUACUCUGUGUCAGGACCAAAUCAUUCAUCAGACCGGAUCAUGCCAGAGGGAGUACGCAUUGGUUUAAAAUUACAUCAAAACAAGGGAAAUGUUACGCUCAUUUAGCAGGGUUGGGUCAUUUCUAUGAUAAAGGUGGAUGGGUGGAUGGGUUUAUGGGGUUUUGUCAGGCGGCAGCCUUGUGUGUCUUCACUCCCCUCUGGAUACUGGAGAUAAGAUUUAUAUGGAGAGUUAUGAAUGGAGGGAGGGAGGAGAGGAUGCUGGGAACUGGAGGGAGGAGAGGAUGCUGGGAACUAGAGGGAGGGAGGAUGCUGGGAACUGGAGGGAGGGAGGAGAGGAUGCUGGGAACUGGAGGGAGGGAGGAGAGAAUGCUGGGAACUAGAGGGAGGGAGGAUGCUGGGAACUGGAGGGAGGGAGGAGAGGAUGCUGGGAACUGGAGGGAGGAAGGAGAGGAUGCUGGGAACUGGAGGGAGGGAGGAGAGGAUGCUGGGAACUGGAGGGAGGGAGGAGAGGAUGCUGGGAACUAGAGGGAGGGAGGAGAGGAUGCUGGGAACUGGAGGGAGGGAGGAGAGGAUGCUGGGAACUAGAGGGAGGGAGGAGAGGAUGCUGGGAACUGGAGGGGGAGGAUGCUGGGAACUGGAGGGAGGAAGGAGAGGAUGCUGGGAACUGGAGGGAGGGAGGAGAGGAUGCUGGGAACUGGAGGGAGGGAGGAUAAUGGGAACUGGAGGGAGGAAGGAGAGGAUGCUGGGAACUGGAGGGAGGGAGGAGAGGAUGCUGGGAACUGGAGGGAGGGAGGAUGCUGGGAACUGGAGGGAGGGAGGAGAGGAUGCUGGGAACUGGAGGGAGAGAGGAAGAGGAUGCUGUAACUCGAGGGAGGAGAGGAUGCUGGGAACUGGAGGGAGGGAGGAGAGGAUGAUGGGAACUCGAGGGAGGAGAGGAUGCUGGGAACUGGUUAAGGAAAAGCUUCCAUUUCUCAUCUGUCAAAAAAUUUGACAGUUGAAGUUAUAUAAACUUCUCUUUGUAGAAAUAGAUGUUAUAUCUUGAGUGUAUUAGAACAUCUGCUGCGGUGUGACAGGUG
rnacentral:lncRNA from 1 species